rnacentral:rRNA from 1 species
UCAAGCGAGAAAGGGUCUACGGUGGAUGCCUUGGAGCUAUCCGACGAGGAAGGACGUGAUAAGCUGCGAAAAGCCUCGGGGAGGAGCAAAUAUCCAAUGAUCCGGGGGUAUCCGAAUGGGGUAACCCGGCCGCUUUGAUGGCGGUCACGCGGCAGUGAAUACAUAGCUGCCGUGAGGAAUACGCGGGGAACUGAACCAUCUAAGUACCUGCAGGAAAAGAAAUCAAAACAGAGAUUCCCUGAGUAGCGGCGAGCGAAAGGGGAAGAGCCCAAACCGGUGGUGUGCAAGCCUUGCAGCGUUGCAUCACCGGGGUUGUAAGAAGUUGCCGGAGGACGUGCAAGAGUCCUCGCGCAGUGAGAAACCUGAAGCAUAGCCGAACGCUACUGGGAAGGGCGACCGGAGCGGGUGAAAGUCCCGUAGGCGAAAUGCUGAGGGCUGCGUGGGCAGCGAUCUUGAGUACGGCGGGGCACGAGGAAUCCUGCCGGAAGCAGGGGGGACCACCCUCCAAGGCUAAAUACGAGAUAGCUACCGAUAGCGCAUAGUACCGUGAGGGAAAGGUGAAAAGCACCCCGGGAGGGGAGUGAAAGAGAACCUGAAACCGUAGACUUACAAGCGGUCGGAGCGUGUAGCAAUACAUGUGACGGCGUGCCUUUUGUAGAAUGGGCCUGCGAGUUACCGUAUGUAGCGAGGUUAAGGUACAGGAGUACCGGAGCCGAAGGGAAACCGAGUCUGAAUAGGGCGAAUGAGUUGCAUGCGGUAGACCCGAAGCCAGGUGAUCUAUCCAUGGUCAGGCUGAAGCUGGGGUAAAACUCAGUGGAGGGCCGAACCCUAGUCUGUUGAAAAAGGCAGGGAUGAACCGUGGAUUGGAGUGAAAGGCUAAACAAACCUGGAGAUAGCUGGUACUCCCCGAAAUAGCUUUAGGGCUAGCCUUGCGGGAGUGUGGCGGAGGUAGAGCACUGGAUGGGCUAGGGCCCUUCACCGGGUACCAAACUCAACCAAACUCCGAAUGCCGCCACAUGCUCCGUGGGAGUCAGACUGCGGGUAAUAAGGUCCGUAGUCGAGAGGGAAACAGCCCAGACCGCCAGCUAAGGUCCCCAAACUACGCUCAGUGGGAAAGGAAGUGCAACGGCGAAGACAGCCAGGAGGUUGGCUUAGAAGCAGCCAUACCUUCAAAGAGUGCGUAACAGCUCACUGGUCGAGUCGUUGUGCGCCGACAAUGUAACGGGGCUAAGCGUAGUACCGAAGCUGCGGCUUCACGCCAAUAGGCGUGAGGGGUAGGGGAGCAUUCCAUGGACCGAAGAAGGUGAGCUGAGAGGCGAGCUGGAGGGGAUGGAAGAGAGAAUGCAGGCAUGAGUAACGAAGAGGCAGGUGAGAUCCCUGCCCGCCGAAAGCCUAAGGUUUCCAGGGUAAAGGUAAUCUACCCAAGGGUUAGUCGGCCCCUAAGGCGAGGCUGAAAAGCGUAGCCGAUGGGAAACUGGUUAAUAUUCCAGUACCUCUUCCGAUUUCGAGGGGAUGACGCAUGAGGCGAAGCGCGGCCCGGCGAUGGUAGUCCGGGUGCAAGCGGCAAGCUGAUGAGGCUGGUAGGCAAAUCCGCCAGCUGAGGUGAGCCGUGAAGCCGAGCGGAGCUACGGCAAAGCGAAGCGUGCGGAGUCAUGGUGACAAGAAAUAGUCUCUAAGGAUAGGUCGGAAGGGACCGUACCGCAAACCGACACAGGUAGGCGAGAUGAGGAUUCUAAGGCGUACGGGAGAACUCGCGUUAAGGAACUCGGCAAAAUGCACACGUAACUUAGGGAGAAGUGUGGCCCCGCGAGGAUGUCAAAGUUUGAGCGGGGUUGCAGAGAAAUGGCCCAAGCGACUGUUUACCAAAAACACAGGUCUGUGCGAAUCUGUAAAGAGAUGUAUACGGACUGACACCUGCCCGGUGCUGGAAGGUUAAGGGGAGUUGUAAUCUUCUUCGGAAGUGAAGCAGCGAACUGAAGCCCCAGUAAACGGCGGCCGUAACUAUAACGGUCCUAAGGUAGCGAAAUUCCUUGUCGGGUAAGUUCCGACCCGCACGAAUGGUGUAACGACUUGGGCGCUGUCUCAACGCGAGACCCGGUGAAAUUGAGGUAUCGGUGAAGACGCCGAUUACCCGUGGUUAGACGGAAAGACCCCGUGAACCUUUACUGUAGCCUGGCAUUGGAAUCUGGGCUCACAUGUGUAGGAUAGGAGGGAGACUGGGAAGCAUGGUCGCUAGGCUGUGUGGAGUCGUUGGUGAAAUACCUCCCUUGUGAGUUUAGGUUUCUAACGCUGUCCUUGAAGCAGGUCAGCGGACCAUGUCAGGUGGGCAGUUUGACUGGGGCGGUCGCCUCCUAAAGAGUAACGGAGGCGCGCGAAGGUCACCUUACACUGGUUGGAAAUCAGUGUGUAAGUGCAAAGGCAUAAGGUGGCUUGACUGCGAGACAUACAGGUCGAGCAGGUGCGAAAGCAGGUCUUAGUGAUCUGGCGGUGGCGAGUGGAAGCGCCGUCACUUAACGGACAAAAGGUACUCCGGGGAUAACAGGCUUAUCCUACCCAAGAGUUCAUAUCGACGGUAGGGUUUGGCACCUCGAUGUCGGCUCAUCGCAUCCUGGGGCUGGAGCAGGUCCCAAGGGUUUGGCUGUUCGCCAAUUAAAGCGGUACGUGAGCUGGGUUCAGAACGUCGCGAGACAGUUCGGUCCCUAUCUGCCACGGGCGUUGGAUGGUUGAGAGGAGCUGCUCUUAGUACGAGAGGACCGGAGCGGACGAACCUCUGGUGUAUCAGUUAUCGUGCCAACGGUAUGUGCUGAGUAGCCAUGUUCGGAAGGGAUAACCGCUGAAAGCAUCUAAGUGGGAAGCCCUCCUCAAGAUGAGCCAUCCCCUCUCCUUUAAGGAGACUAAAGGCACCAGAGAGAAGAUCUGGUUGAUAGGCUGGAGGUAUAAGCAUGGUAACAUGUUGAGCCGACCAGUACUAAUAUGCCGUGCGGCUUGACCAU